rnacentral:rRNA from 1 species
UACGUAGGGUGCAAGCGUUAAUCGGAAUUACUGGGCGUAAAGCGCACGUAGGUGGUUUGUUAAGCUAGCUGUGAAAUCCCCGGGCUCAACCUGGGCACUGCAGUUAGAACUGGCAAGCUAGAGUAGGGUAGAGGGGUGUGGAAUUCCAGGUGUAGCGGUGAAAUGCGUAGAUAUCUGGAGGAACAUCAGUGGCGAAGGCGACACCCUGGACUCAUACUGACACUGAGGUGCGAAAGCGUGGGGAGCAAACAGG